UAUUUUUUUUUUUGGUUCCUCCGUACUGUAGUCAUACUCUCAUAGCAUAGAUCAAGCCACGCAUGGGUAAAUAAAAAUUUUUUACUAAGAAAGAGAGAAUGGCUCUUUCUGUCAUUUAUAGUUAGAAAGAUGAAAUGUCUUACUUGGAUAUCGUAAUUAUUUGUAGAAUUAAUGCAUAAUCACUUCCUCGACUUAGAGGAGGUGUUUUUAUUAGAAAAAAAAUCAAUUGUCUCAUUAUAUUGGGGAAUAAUAACCUUUCAUCUUAUCUCUUUUUUAUGUAGAGAAGUUUUUUAAAAGUUUUUCCCAUAUCAGUUUUCGAGGAUAGUGUAUGGGUCUCCCAGGGCAGUCGGGGGAAGAGAAAAAUUGGGUUUCGUUUUGGGAGAGGGCCCGUGAGAGAGGUUUCCCACACACAGGAAACCCCACGGGCGUAAAAUUUCCACUAUCCACACACGGGGGGGUAGGCACAAAAACUCACAAUGGGAAUUUUUAGUUUUGCAAUUGGAUUGAGAACAAUGUACAACAGUUAUCGAUAAACAAUUGGAGGGCAAGUCUGGUGCCAGCAGCCGCGGUAAUCCACUCACAAAAUGACU
rnacentral:rRNA from 1 species